rnacentral:misc_RNA from 1 species
AUUCAGGUGCGGAUCUAAAGCUGCAAAAUUUUGAAUCUCAAACUUUAAUCGCCCAAUUCUCUCUGCCCAAACCAAAACCCUAGCAUUUUUCAGUGGUUUUGUUUUGGUUAAAUUCUUUCAUUUUUUGGGUGUAUUUAUCUGCUUCAAUUUCACUCUGUAACGGCCGAUAAUGGAGUUUGGGAGGAAGAGAAGAGGUGGCGGUGCUUUCGGUAGCAGUGGAGGCAUGAAGAAAUCAAGAGAUGUAUCAGAAUCCUUUACGACUGGUGUAGGAAGCAAAUCAAAGCCAUGCAUGAAGUUUUACAGCACUUCUGGAUGCUCAUUUGGGGCGGGAUGUCACUUUCUUCAUUAUGUUCCUGGCUACACUGCUAUGAGCCAGCUAUCAAACAUGGGCUCAAACCCAGCACCUCCAUUUGGAAGGAACAGUGCAUCUUUUAGUGAUGGUCCUGGCCCAGCUAUGAAAUCAAAGUUCUGCAGCAAGUUCAACACUGCAGAAGGGUGCAGGUUUGGUGAUAGGUGCCACUUUGCUCAUGGCGAGAUGGAGAUUGGGAAGCAAGUGCGUCCAGCGUACGAUGAUUUCCAAGCCAAAGGUCCUCCGAGUGGGUUCUCAGGUUACCUUGAACCGUCCCAACCUGGUCUAGCUGCUACAAACUUUGGAGCAUCUGCAACAACUACCAUUAGUGUAGAUGCAUCUCUUGCUGGAAACAUCAUAGGGAAGAGUGGUGUGAACUCAAAACACAUAUGUCUGGUUACUGGUGUCAAGCUCUUUAUAAGGGAGCACGAAACGGACACUAACAAAAGAAAUGUUGAACUCCAAGGAACCUUUGAUCAGAUUAAUCAGGCGAGAGCCAUGGUGAGGGAGCUCAUAUCGAAUAUCAGUACACCUACAGGCGGGCUGAAGAAUGCUGCCCCAUUUUCUCGAGGUCCUCCUGGCCCACUUAAAACAAAGAUGUGUGCGAAUUUUUCAAAAGGUUUGUGCACAUUUGGAGAGAAAUGCCAUUUUGCUCAUGGGCCCAGUGAGUUGCAGAAGCCAUUGACUUGAUUUCAUGGCAUUCAUACUGUGUAUUAGCAAAAAUAUUGCUUGCUUAUAAUAGGAGAUAGUACAAGGAUAAACGUUGAAAGGAUACUGUCUGUUCUGUGUUAGUGUAAUAUGAAUCCGUUUAGGAUGAGGGUUGCCCAGGUAUGUCAUAUCUGUAUAUUGGUGACUGGAAAACGCAUGUCCUCAGAUAGGAUCUUGUUACUGCCGCUUUAGAAUAAUUGGGCUUCAAAAUUGAGAAA